AUUGAACGCUGGCGGCAGGCCUAACACAUGCAAGUCGAGCGAGCGGCGGACGGGUGAGUAAUGUAUGGGGACUGCCCGCUAGAGGGGGAUAACUACUGGAAACGGUAGCUAAUACCGCAUACUAUCGGAUAACCCAUAUGGGAUUAGCUAGUAGGUGAGGUAAUGGCUCACCUAGGCUACGAUCCCUAGCUGGUCUGAGUGGAUGAUCAGCCACACUGGCAUGGAGACACGGCCGAGACUCCGACGGAGGCAGCAGUGUGGAAGAUUGCACAAUGGGAGCAAGACUGAUGCAGCCGUGACGCGUGUAUGAAGAAGGCACUAGGUUUGUAAAGUACUUUCAGUCGGGAGGCGUUACCGACAGAAGAAGCACCGGCUAACUCCGUGCCAGCAGCCGCGGUAACUC
rnacentral:rRNA from 1 species